GACGAACGCUGGCGGCGUGCUUAACACAUGCAAGUCGAACGAAGAGCGAUGGAAGCUUGCUUCUAUCAAUCUUAGUGGCGAACGGGUGAGUAACGCGUAAUCAACCUGCCCUUCAGAGGGGGACAACAGUUGGAAACGACUGCUAAUACCGCAUACGAUCUAACCUCGGCAUCGAGGAAAGAUGAAAGGUGGCCUCUAUGUAUAAGCUAUCACUGAAGGAGGGGAUUGCGUCUGAUUAGCUAGUUGGAGGGGUAACGGCCCACCAAGGCGAUGAUCAGUAGCCGGUCUGAGAGGAUGAACGGCCACAUUGGGACUGAGACACGGCCCAGACUCCUACGGGAGGCAGCAGUGGGGAAUCUUCCGCAAUGGACGAAAGUCUGACGGAGCAACGCCGCGUGAGUGAUGACGGCCUUCGGGUUGUAAAGCUCUGUUAAUCGGGACGAGAGGCCUUCUUGCGAAUAGUGAGAAGGAUUGACGGUACCGGAAUAGAAAGCCACGGCUAACUACGUG
rnacentral:rRNA from 1 species